AGCAACAUUCUGACUUGAAACCUCUCUUCUGAUCCAGGAACAACUAUCCUGAGCUGCUGUUCGUGAUUCAGGUUGGCAUCAAUCAAAUUGGAAGCACAUGAAUUAUACAUUAUUGUUUCUGAGCCACAGUUAUCUUCUACAGCACAUCUUUUGAGUAAAGACAUGCAAGUAGUACUGAAACGACUGCAAUGUGAUAAUCAUGGAGACUGGACUGGUUCAACAUCCAGAUGUUUCGAUUUUUUUGAUAAAUCAAUCUCCAAGGUUCAGCUCAUUCACAGUGUGAGGCUACUUACCUGUUCAAAGUACAUCACUUUUGUCCUCCAGUUUUCAUAUUGGCUUCCUGUCAAGAUAAGACAUCAUAAAGAAAAUAACACAACUUUUCUAAAGGUCAGUGGGACAUCACAGAAAAAUGAUGUAUCAAGACCUUCGGUUAAUCAAAUUAAUGAGGCAGGACGAAGAUAGUCCCUGUUAACCGCCUUGUUUGGAAGCAAAAUUCCUUCUAUUAUUACAUGGUAUUAUUGUGAUCAAAAGAUAAUAAAUAUAUGAUUCCAAAC
ensembl:lincRNA